rnacentral:rRNA from 1 species
GAUAAACGCUGGCGGCGCACAUAAGACAUGCAAGUCGAACGGACUUAACCAUUAGUUUACUAUUGGAGCGGUUAGUGGCGGACUGGUGAGUAACACGUAAGCAACCUGCCUAUCAGAGGGGAACAACAGUUAGAAACGACUGCUAAUACCGCAUAAGCCCACGGUGCCGCAUGGCACAGCGGGAAAAGGAUUUAUUCGCUUCAGGAUGGACUCGCGUCCAAUUAGCUAGUUGGUGAGGUAACGGCCCACCAAGGCGACGAUUGGUAGCCGGACUGAGAGGUUGAACGGCCACAUUGGGACUGAGACACGGCCCAG